rnacentral:rRNA from 1 species
GAUUAAGUUAUUAAGGGCGCACGGUGGAUGCCUUGGCACUAGAAGCCGAUGAAGGACGUUACUAACGACGAUAUGCUUUGGGGAGCUGUAAGUAAGCUUUGAUCCAGAGAUUUCCGAAUGGGGAAACCCAGCAUGAGUUAUGUCAUGUUAUCGAUAUGUGAAUACAUAGCAUAUCAGAAGGCACACCCGGAGAACUGAAACAUCUUAGUACCCGGAGGAAGAGAAAGAAAAUUCGAUUCCCUUAGUAGCGGCGAGCGAAACGGGAAGAGCCCAAACCAACAAGCUUGCUUGUUGGGGUUGUAGGACACUCUAUACGGAGUUACAAAGGACGACAUUAGACGAAUCAUCUGGAAAGAUGAAUCAAAGAAGGUAAUAAUCCUGUAGUCGAAAAUGUUGUCUCUCUUGAGUGGAUCCUGAGUACGACGGAGCACGUGAAAUUCCGUCGGAAUCUGGGAGGACCAUCUCCUAAGGCUAAAUACUCUCUAGUGACCGAUAGUGAACCAGUACCGUGAGGGAAAGGUGAAAAGCACCCCGGAAGGGGAGUGAAAUAGAACCUGAAACCGUGUGCUUACAAGUAGUCAGAGCCCGUUAAUGGGUGAUGGCGUGCCUUUUGUAGAAUGAACCGGCGAGUUACGAUUUGAUGCAAGGUUAAGCAGUAAAUGUGGAGCCGUAGCGAAAGCGAGUCUGAAUAGGGCGUUUAGUAUUUGGUCGUAGACCCGAAACCAGGUGAUCUACCCUUGGUCAGGUUGAAGUUCAGGUAACACUGAAUGGAGGACCGAACCGACUUACGUUGAAAAGUGAGCGGAUGAACUGAGGGUAGCGGAGAAAUUCCAAUCGAACCUGGAGAUAGCUGGUUCUCUCCGAAAUAGCUUUAGGGCUAGCCUCAAGUGAUGAUUAUUGGAGGUAGAGCACUGUUUGGACGAGGGGCCCCUCUCGGGUUACCGAAUUCAGACAAACUCCGAAUGCCAAUUAAUUUAACUUGGGAGUCAGAACAUGGGUGAUAAGGUCCGUGUUCGAAAGGGAAACAGCCCAGACCACCAGCUAAGGUCCCAAAAUAUAUGUUAAGUGGAAAAGGAUGUGGCGUUGCCCAGACAACUAGGAUGUUGGCUUAGAAGCAGCCAUCAUUUAAAGAGUGCGUAAUAGCUCACUAGUCGAGUGACACUGCGCCGAAAAUGUACCGGGGCUAAACAUAUUACCGAAGCUGUGGAUUGUCCUUUGGACAAUGGUAGGAGAGCGUUCUAAGGGCGUUGAAGCAUGAUCGUAAGGACAUGUGGAGCGCUUAGAAGUGAGAAUGCCGGUGUGAGUAGCGAAAGACGGGUGAGAAUCCCGUCCACCGAUUGACUAAGGUUUCCAGAGGAAGGCUCGUCCGCUCUGGGUUAGUCGGGUCCUAAGCUGAGGCCGACAGGCGUAGGCGAUGGAUAACAGGUUGAUAUUCCUGUACCACCUAUAAUCGUUUUAAUCGAUGGGGGGACGCAGUAGGAUAGGCGAAGCGUGCGAUUGGAUUGCACGUCUAAGCAGUAAGGCUGAGUAUUAGGCAAAUCCGGUACUCGUUAAGGCUGAGCUGUGAUGGGGAGAAGACAUUGUGUCUUCGAGUCGUUGAUUUCACACUGCCGAGAAAAGCCUCUAGAUAGAAAAUAG